rnacentral:ribozyme from 1 species
AGAAAAAAAAAACGCACUAAAUGAUCGCAAGUAACUCAUUUGACUUUUCUUGUUUUUUCUUCUUCUUCACGUUCUUGCUUUUUCCUGUGCCU